rnacentral:lncRNA from 1 species
CCAGCCACUGGCUGAAAAACAUUAGUGCUUUUGGUAAGUGCUCUAUCAGAGGACAAUGGGACUGAGGCGCGUGCACGAGUCGACCCCAUGUUUUUAUUUUCUCUCUCUUUGAAUCUAAACACGCUUUCCCGGUCGGAAUAUUAUCGCUUUUUUACGAGAAAAAUGGCAUAAAAAUUGAUUUUAAACAGCGGUUGACAUGCUUCGAAGUACGGUAAUGGAAUAUUUAGACAUUUUUUGUCACGAAAUGCGUCGUGCGCGUCACCCUUCUUUACCAUUCGGAUAGUGUCUUGAACGCACGAACAAAACAGAGGAUAUUUGAACAUAACUAUGGAUUAUUUUGAACCAAACCAACAUUUGUUAUUGAAGUAGAAGUCCUGGGAGUGCAUUCUGACGAAGAACAGCAAAGUUUUCCCCGUGUCUGACCAUUCUGCCUGCCCUGACCCCGAGCCUUCCUGCCGUCCUCUACCUGCCUGACUGACCUGAUCAUGAACCUCUGCCUGCCCUCAACCGGCCCUUUGCCUGCCCAGUGUUUCUAUUAAAUUAUCUGAGAACUGUACUAUCCGCCUCCCGUGUG